rnacentral:rRNA from 1 species
GACGAACGCUGGCGGCGUGCCUAAUACAUGCAAGUAGAACGCUGAAGGAGGAGCUUGCUUCUCUGGAUGAGUUGCGAACGGGUGAGUAACGCGUAGGUAACCUGCCUGGUAGCGGGGGAUAACUAUUGGAAACGAUAGCUAAUACCGCAUAAGAGUAGAUGUCGCAUGACAUUUGCUUAAAAGGUGCAAUUGCAUCACUACCAGAUGGACCUGCGUUGUAUUAGCUAGUUGGUGAGGUAACGGCUCACCAAGGCAACGAUACAUAGCCGACCUGAGAGGGGGAUCGGCCACACUGGGACUGAGACACGGCCCAGACUCCUACGGGAGGCAGCAGUAGGGAAUCUUCGGCAAUGGACGGAAGUCUUACCGAGCAACGCCGCGUGAGUGAAGAAGGUUUUCGGAUCGUAAAGCUCUGUUGUAAGAGAAGAACGAGUGUGAGAGUGGAAAGUUCACACUGUGACGGUAUCUUACCAGAAAGGGACGGCUAACUACGUG